rnacentral:rRNA from 1 species
GAUGAACGCUAGCGGGAGGCCUAACACAUGCAAGCCGAGCGGUAGAGUCUCUUCGGAGACUUGAGAGCGGCGCACGGGUGCGGAACACGUGUGCAACCUGCCUUUAUCUGGGGGAUAGCCUUUCGAAAGGAAGAUUAAUACCCCAUAAUAUACUGGAUGGCAUCAUCUGGUAUUGAAAACUCCGGUGGAUAGAGAUGGGCACGCGCAAGAUUAGAUAGUUGGUGAGGUAACGGCUCACCAAGUCAGCGAUCUUUAGGGGGCCUGAGAGGGUGAUCCCCCACACUGGUACGGAGACACGGACCAGACUCCUACGCGAGGCAGCAGUGAGGAAUAGUGGACAAUGGGUGAGAGCCUGAUCCAGCCAUCCCGCGUGAAGGACGACGGCCCUAUGGGUUGUAAACUUCUUUUGUAUAGGGAUAAACCUAGAUACGUGUAUCUAGCUGAAGGUACUAUACGAAUAAGCACCGGCUAACUCCGUG